rnacentral:lncRNA from 1 species
ACCAAACCGGUGCCCCUUCUUCCCCUACCGCCUCCUCCUCCUCCAAGAAGAAGAAGAAGCACCGCAAGGCCGUCGACGUCACCGUGGACGCCCCUUCUUCCCCUACCGCCUCCUCCAAGAAGAAGAAGAAGCACCGCAAGGCCACCGACGUCACCGUAGACGCCCCUUCUUCCCCUACUGCAGCCUCCUCCAAGAAGAAGAAGAAGCGCAAGGCCAUCGACGUCACCGUAGACGCCUCCUUCGCCGCCGCCGCCGCCGCCCCCGUCGUCGGCUACUUCCCC